rnacentral:misc_RNA from 1 species
GAUGAAGAACGCAGCGAAAUGAGAUAAGUAAUGUGAAUUGCAGAGUUCAGUGAAUCAUCGAAUCUUUGAACGCACAUUGCGCCCGUCAGUAUUCUGACGGGCAUGCCUGUCCGAGCGUCAUUUCAACCCUCAAGCACUGCUUGGCGUUGGCGGAUUGCGUGCCCUCGCGGCGCUGCAACCGCCCAAAUACAGUGGCGGUCCCGCUGCGGCUCCCUUUGCGUAGUAACUCACCUCGCACUGGACCGGGCGGCGGCCUGCCGUAAAACCCCAACUCACGAAAUGUUGACCUCGGAUCAGGGAGGAAUACCCGCUGAACUUAAGCAUAUCAAUAAGCGGAGGA